GGGAAUGUGGCUUAGUGGUAGAGUGCUUGCCUAGCAUGCAUGAAGCCCUGGGUUCAAGUCCUCAGUACCA
rfam:Dipodomys ordii contig_28519, whole genome shotgun sequence.